rnacentral:rRNA from 1 species
UGCGAAUGGCUCAUUACAACAGCCAUAGUUUAUUAGAUAGUCUAUUACUACAUGGAUAACUGUGGUAAUUCUAGAGCUAAUACAUGCUACAAACAGUGACCUCGCAAGAGGUAGCUGCGCUUUUAUUAGAACAAAACCAAUCGCGCUGUGGGCAACCGCAGUGCGUCAUUUGGUGAAUCUGGAUAACCUGGCAGAUCGCACGGUCUAGCACCGGCGACACAUCUUUCAAAUGUCUGCCUUAUCAACUGUCGAUGGUAGUUUACAUGCCUACCAUGGUGAUAACGGGUAACAGAGAAUAAGGGUUUGACUCUGGAGAGGGAGCCUGAGAGACGGCUACCACAUCCAAGGAAGGCAGCAGGCACGCAAAUUACCCACUCCCGGCACGGGGAGGUAGCGACGAAAAAUAACGAGGUCGUUUCCUUAUGGAGCCGACCAUUGGAAUGGGUACAAUUUAAACCCUUUAACGAGGAUCUAUUGGAGGGCAAGUCUGGUGCCAGCAGCCGCGGUAAUUCCAGCUCCAAUAGCGUAUAUUAAAGUUGUUGCGGUUAAAAAGCUCGUAGUUGGAUCUGCGGUCGUAGACUCUGGUUCCCUCCUAGGGAUACUAGCUGUCUCGACCUACCUUGUUAGAUUUCCCUUGGUGCUCUUUACUGAGUGCCUUGGGUGUCUAGCUCGUUUACUUUGAAAAAAUUAGAGUGCUUAAAGCAGGCAUUUGCCUGAAUAGUGGUGCAUGGAAUAAUGGAAUAGGACCUCGGUUCUAUUUUGUUGGUUUUCGGAGCAUGAGGUAAUGAUUAAGAGGGACAGACGGGGGCAUUCGUACUGCUACGUUAGAGGUGAAAUUCUUGGAUCGUAGCAUGACGAACAACUGCGAAAGCAUUUGCCAAGAAUGUUUUCAUUAAUCAAGAACGACAGUUAGAGGUUCGAAGGCGAUCAGAUUACCC